AAUUAACACUAGGGGAGCCAAUUGGCUGAGAGAGGAUAUUUAUCCCGACCCUUAGACCUGAACUAGGUAAUGCUAGCGUAGGGAAGUGUGUAUUAGCCUUU
rnacentral:ncRNA from 2 species